rnacentral:rRNA from 1 species
GCUACGGGCGCAGCAGUGAGGAAUAUUGGUCAAUGGGCGGAAGCCUGAACCAGCCAAGUCGCGUGAGGGAAUAAGGCCCUACGGGUCGUAAACCUCUUUUGCCGGGGAGCAAGGGCCGGGACGAGUCCCGGUCCGGAGAGUACCCGGAGAAAAAGCAUCGGCUAACUCCGGGCCAGCAGCCGCGGUAAUACGGAGGAUGCGAGAGUUAUCCGGAGUUAUUGGGUUUAAAGGGUGCGUAGGCGGGCUUUUAAGUCAGCGGUAAAAAUGUGGGGGUGAACCCCGUCCGGCCGU